rnacentral:rRNA from 1 species
CACGUAGGGUGCGAGCGUUGUCCGGAAUUAUUGGGCGUAAAGAGCUUGUAGGCGGUUUGUCGCGUCUGCCGUGAAAUUUCGAGGCUCAACCUCGAACUUGCGGUGGGUACGGGCAGACUAGAGUGUGGUAGGGGAGACUGGAAUUCCUGGUGUAGCGGUGAAAUGCGCAGAUAUCAGGAGGAACACCGAUGGCGAAGGCAGAUCUCUGGGCCGUAACUGACGCUGAGGAGCGAAAGCAUGGGGAGCGAACAGG